rnacentral:rRNA from 1 species
UACAGAGGGUGCAAGCGUUGUUCGGAAUUACUGGGCGUAAAGGGCGCGUAGGCGGCCCGCUAAGUCGAACGUGAAAUCCCCGGGCUCAACCCGGGAACUGCGUCCGAUACUGGUGGGCUUGAAUCCGGGAGAGGGAUGCGGAAUUCCAGGUGUAGCGGUGAAAUGCGUAGAUAUCUGGAGGAACACCGGUGGCGAAGGCGGCAUCCUGGACCGGUAUUGACGCUGAGGCGCGAAAGCCAGGGGAGCAAACAGG